UAAAAAUGAAAAGGAGCUUAUUUGGAGG
rnacentral:piRNA from 1 species